rnacentral:snRNA from 1 species
AGCUUUGCGCAGUGGCAGUAUCGUAGCCAAUGAGGUUUAUCUGAGGCGCGAUUAUUGCUAAUAGAGAUAAACAUUUUUUUUACAAUUUAAAGAUCAUAUAAAUACUUUUAACCUGCUUUACCAAUUUAAGC